rnacentral:rRNA from 1 species
AACCCCUGUGAACAUACCUUACUGUUGCCUCGGCGGAUCAGCCCGCUCCCGGUAAAACGGGACGGCCCGCCAGAGGACCCCUAAACUCUGUUUCUAUAUGUAACUUCUGAGUAAAACCAUAAAUAAAUCAAAACUUUCAACAACGGAUCUCUUGGUUCUGGCAUCGAUGAAGAACGCAGCAAAAUGCGAUAAGUAAUGUGAAUUGCAGAAUUCAGUGAAUCAUCGAAUCUUUGAACGCACAUUGCGCCCGCCAGUAUUCUGGCGGGCAUGCCUGUUCGAGCGUCAUUUCAACCCUCAAGCCCUCGGGUUUGGUGUUGGGGAUCGGCGAGCCUUUCUGGCAAGCCGGCCCCGAAAUCUAGUGGCGGUCUCGCUGCAGCCUCCAUUGCGUAGUAGUAAAACCCUCGCAACUGGAACGCGGCGCGGCCAAGCCGUUAAACCCCCAACUUCUGAAUGUUGACCUCGGAUCAGGUAGGAAUACCCGCUGAACUUAAGCAUAUCAAAAGGCCGGAGGAA